GCAUAAAUCCAAGAACCGCAUGGUUCUUGGCUGAAAGAUGGCGUAAGCUAUCGCUUUUGGAUGGACCCGCGGCGUAUUAGCUAGUUGGUGAGGUAACGGCUCACCAAGGCAAUGAUACGUAGCCGAACUGAGAGGUUGAUCGGCCACAUUGGGACUGAGACACGGCCCAAACUCCUACGGGAGGCAGCAGUAGGGAAUCUUCCACAAUGGACGCAAGUCUGAUGGAGCAACGCCGCGUGAGUGAAGAAGGCUUUCGGGUCGUAAAACUCUGUUGUUGGAGAAGAAUGGUCGGCAGAGUAACUGUUGUCGGCGUGACGGUAUCCAACCAGAAAGCCACGGCUAACUACGUGCCAGCAGCCGCGGUAAUACGUAGGUGGCAAGCGUUAUCCGGAUUUAUUGGGCGUAAAGCGAGCGCAGGCGGUUUUUUAAGUCUGAUGUGAAAGCCCUCGGCUUAACCGAGGAAGUGCAUCGGAAACUGGGAAACUUGAGUGCAGAAGAGGACAGUGGAACUCCAUGUGUAGCGGUGAAAUGCGUAGAUAUAUGGAAGAACACCAGUGGCGAAGGCGGCUGUCUGGUCUGUAACUGACGCUGAGG
rnacentral:rRNA from 1 species